rnacentral:lncRNA from 14 species
ACUAUGUCUUGCUUGACUAGGUAUGCCUAAAUCCUGUUGGGCUCAGUAAUCUAUUUAGUGAUUCUUCUGCUUGCUUUUAGAACGUUGCUGGUAUACAACCAUCUUCUCCAGUGCUCAGUGUGCCGUGUGGUACAUGAUGUUUUGGGAUUUGGUGCAGAGGAGUAGAUGUGUCUUCCCUCUGUGGCAUGUUCUGCUCUUUGAUCCCAGUUGUCUGUCAGCCAAUGCACAGAAUAUCUUUGCAAGCCAAGAGGAGGAGGAGGAGGGAGCUCUGUGCCCUGUUUGGGUAGUGUCUGUGGUUCUCAGUGGGCUGUGGAGGAUGCAGUGUGCAUUACUCUGUGGAAAAGAUCCUACAGUAUCUUCUCCUUCCCUGCUCCAGGCAGAUGGUAAUUGAUUGGAAAGCAGAAGAGCUGAGUCAUCCCCUGAGAAGACAUUUCCCACAGCAGAUGUUAUGCCAUGCGAUCCUGCUAUCUUUUGCAGUCAUUGCUGGAGGAGCUUCUGUGUCACUCCAAGACCUGAAUGAAGAUAACAUGGUCCCAUUCCUCCAGUCACAUAACUACAGCAAAGAUAAACAGUGUUUGCUGCAGAACCAGUGUCACUAAAUCCUCUAUUUGAAAACAUCUCUGUCUGUACUGAGACCUUACCUUUGAAAGGCGAUAAUGUGAACAACAUCCUGCUACAUUUUGCAAUGAACAUCUAUUUACAUAUGUUAUCUGGGAGCUGUCCU